UAACCUGCCCAAGAGAUCGGGAUAACACCUGAAACAGAUGCUAAUACCGGAUAACAACAGAUGAUGCCUAUCAACUGUUUAAAAGAUGGUUCUGCUAUCACUCUUGGAUGGACCUGCGGUGCAUUAGCUAGUUGGUAGGGUAACGGCCUACCAAGGCGAUGAUGCAUAGCCGAGUUGAGAGACUGAUCGGCCACAUUGGGACUGAGACACGGCCCAAACUCCUACGGGAGGCAGCAGGC
rnacentral:rRNA from 1 species